rnacentral:lncRNA from 1 species
AGACAUUUAAUUUCUUUGAAACUCCGUCACAAUUCAUUAUAAAUCUAUUACAUCAUCAAUAUCGGCAGCGUGCUAUCUUGGUUCAUCAUCUUCGGGGUGGGAGACCCAGCCAUAAUCUAAAAAAGGUGGGAUUCGUGGGAAAGAGGGAAACAAUUCAGUCAAGUCAUCCUCUGAAGAUACAUGCAGAUGAUCUACAAGUUUAUUGAAAAUUGAAUAAAGAAGCAGCACCAUCUCCUUAUUGGGCACCCCACCCAAUUACAUAAUCGGCCAGAGCUUCGGCAUCAACAUCAGCAGUCUAUUUGGCCAGAGCUUCGCCUGUGCGAGGUCGACUUCGUGAUCUCUUUAAAGGCUUCAAACAAUUUCUUCGGCCAUUUUUCUCUUGGAAUUUAGUUUCACAAAGAAGAAUCAACAACCUUCGUUCACGGUUCAUUACUUAAAAUCAUACUAGACUCAGCUGCGAAGCCUAGUUCGUUAUCACAACCACGAGGCAAUCGCUAGUCUUCCUCGAAGCCUGGAUAAUCUCUUUAAUGGAGCUGUGUUGGUUCAAUUAUCGGCGCAGAUUGUGACGACAAAGUGGCCAACAGUUAGGAGUGAUCAUUCGGUUAUAACCGAACCGAAUAAGCUAUUCGGUUAUAACCGAAAACUGAAUAAGUGCCAAUUUUACUAUCCGAAAUAAUAACCGAAAUUUAAAAAUAACCGAAUACCGAAUACCGAAUUACGAAUUGUAAUUUCGGUAAUUCGGGUAAAAACCGAAUCAGCACGAGCCAAAGAGCAGAGCUGCGAGCCCCUCCUCCGACCAAAACCCUUUUAGUAUAAAAAACAACAGAGCUGCGACAAAGAUCAGCAGCAAAUAGCUGCUUCUCCACACCCUCUUCUCCCUCCUUCAAUUCCUCAAUAUACAUGUCUACAAUACAAUUACAUAGCUCACCAACAAAUUCAGAAUUCCAUCUCCAGUCUCCACACAACACAGAAAACUAAAAAUCAAAAAAUCUUUAAAUCCUAGCUUUUUAAAUAAAAACCAAAACCAAAAUCAAUUAAAACAGAAAAUUUCCAAAUUUAGACCUACAAAAACCCAAAAUAAAAAUCACAUAAACCCAAAACUCAAAUCAAACAACAAAUGCAAUAAUUUUCACAGAAAUCAAACACAAUACAAUUAAAAACAAACCCAAUUCAAGAAUUGCAGCAUUCUUAUCAUAUUGAACGAAAUCCUAGAUUUCCCUCAAGAACAAGCAAUCGAUGCGAAACAAUCUGAAUCAGAAUCAACAAACCGACUCCAAGACACAGCAACAAUAGUACCGACUCCAAAUCGGAAUCAACAAACUGAUAAAAAAUCGGAGACAACAAUGAAAAUUGAAAAGCACGGUUCCGACCGGGACCCAAAUCGAGCUCGAAAUCAGAAUCAAUGGGGUGAAAAAAAUCAGACCCAAAACCGUGGGAGGGAUGCUGUCUGAGGCUCUAAGAGGUGCUGCGGUGGUGGGUCUUUGUUGUCUUUGGAGUUGGACGGUGCCGGAGUUCCGAUCGGUCAGAGAGAAAAUGAGAAGAUAAGAGUGAGGGGACUGGGCGUCUGCCGUCUGGGCCACUGGGGACGAGAAGUGUGAGAGAGAGUGAAGGCCUGAGGGGUUUAGUUGAGGACCU